rnacentral:rRNA from 1 species
GGGACGAACGCUGGCGGCGCGCUUAAAACAUGCAAGUCGAACGAGAAGCUCGGAGCUUGCUCCGGGUGGAAAGUGGCGAACGGGUGAGGAGCACGUGAGGAACCUGCCCCGAAGACCGGGACAACACCGGGAAACCGGUGCUAAUACCGGAUGCCCUCACCGGACCGCAUGAUCCGGUGAGGAAAUGGAUUCCGCUUCGGGAGGGCUCGCGGGCUAUCAGCUUGUUGGUGAGGUAACGGCUCACCAAGGCUUCGACGGGUA